GGGCGUUAAGUUGCAGGGUAUAGACCCGAAACCCGGUGAUCUAGCCAUGGGCAGGUUGAAGGUUGGGUAACACUAACUGGAGGACCGAACCGACUAAUGUUGAAAAAUUAGCGGAUGACCUGUGGCUGGGGGUGAAAGGCCAAUCAAACCGGGAGAUAGCUGGUUCUCCCCGAAAGCUAUUUAGGUAGCGCCUCGUGAAUUCAUCUCCGGGGGUAGAGCACUGUUUCGGCUAGGGGGCCAUCCCGGCUUACCAACCCGAUGCAAACUGCGAAUACCGGAGAAUGUUAUCACGGGAGACACACGGCGGGUGCUAACGUCCGUCGUGAAGAGGGAAACAACCCAGACCGCCAGCUAAGGUCCCAAAGUCAUGGUUAAGUGGGAAACGAUGUGGGAAGGCCCAGACAGCCAGGAUGUUGGCUUAGAAGCAGCCAUCAUUUAAAGAAAGCGUAAUAGCUCACUGGUCGAGUCGGCCUGCGCGGAAGAUGUAACGGGGCUAAACCAUGCACCGAAGCUGCGGCAGCGACACUGUGUGUUGUUGGGUAGGGGAGCGUUCUGUAAGCCUGUGAAGGUGGCCUGUGAGGGUUGCUGGAGGUAUCAGAAGUGCGAAUGCUGACAUAAGUAACGAUAAAGCGGGUGAAAAGCCCGCUCGCCGGAAGACCAAGGGUUCCUGUCCAACGUUAAUCGGGGCAGGGUGAGUCGACCCCUAAGGCGAGGCCGAAAGGCGUAGUCGAUGGGAAACGGGUUAAUAUUCCCGUACUUGGUGUUACUGCGAAGGGGGGACGGAGAAGGCUAUGUUGGCCGGGCGACGGUUGUCCCGGUUUAAGCGUGUAGGCUGGUUUUCCAGGCAAAUCCGGUUCACUUUAAAACUGAGGCGUGACGACGAGGCACUACGGUGCUGAAGCAACAAAUGCCCUGCUUCCAGGAAAAGCCUCUAAGCAUCAGGUAACAUCAAAUCGUACCCCAAACCGACACAGGUGGUCAGGUAGAGAAUACCAAGGCGCUUGAGAGAACUCGGGUGAAGGAACUAGGCAAAAUGGUGCCGUAACUUCGGGAGAAGGCACGCUGACACGUAGGUGAAGUGAUUUACUCACGGAGCUGAAGUCAGUCGAAGAUACCAGCUGGCUGCAACUGUUUAUUAAAAACACAGCACUGUGCAAACACGAAAGUGGACGUAUACGGUGUGACGCCUGCCCGGUGCCGGAAGGUUAAUUGAUGGGGUCAGCGCAAGCGAAGCUCCUGAUCGAAGCCCCGGUAAACGGCGGCCGUAACUAUAACGGUCCUAAGGUAGCGAAAUUCCUUGUCGGGUAAGUUCCGACCUGCACGAAUGGCGUAAUGAUGGCCAGGCUGUCUCCACCCGAGACUCAGUGAAAUUGAACUCGCUGUGAAGAUGCAGUGUACCCGCGGCAAGACGGAAAGACCCCGUGAACCUUUACUAUAGCUUGACACUGAACAUUGAGCCUUGAUGUGUAGGAUAGGUGGGAGGCUUUGAAGCGUGGACGCCAGUCUGCGUGGAGCCGACCUUGAAAUACCACCCUUUAAUGUUUGAUGUUCUAACGUGGACCCGUGAUCCGGGUUGCGGACAGUGUCUGGUGGGUAGUUUGACUGGGGCGGUCUCCUCCUAAAGAGUAACGGAGGAGCACGAAGGUUGGCUAAUCCUGGUCGGAC
rnacentral:rRNA from 1 species